rnacentral:ncRNA from 2 species
AAGUCGUAACAAGGUUUCCGUA